UACGUAGGGACCAAGCGUUGUUCGGAUUUACUGGGCGUAAAGGGCGCGUAGGCGGCGCGGUAAGUCACUUGUGAAAUCUCUGAGCUUAACUCAGAACGGCCAAGUGAUACUGCAGUGCUAGAGUGUGGAAGGGGCAAUCGGAAUUCUUGGUGUAGCGGUGAAAUGCGUAGAUAUCAAGAGGAACACCUGAGGUGAAGACGGGUUGCUGGGCCAACACUGACGCUGAUGCGCGAAAGCCGGGGGAGCAAACGGG
rnacentral:rRNA from 1 species